rnacentral:rRNA from 1 species
AACGAACGCUGGCGGCAGGCUUAACACAUGCAAGUCGAACGGUUGUAGCAAUACAGCAGUGGCAGACGGGUGAGUAACACGUGGGAACCUUCCUAGGGGUACGGAACAACUCAGGGAAACUUGAGCUAAUACCGUAUACGUCCGUGAGGAGAAAGAUUUAUCGCCCUUAGACGGGCCCGCGUCGGAUUAGCUAGUUGGUGGGGUAACGGCCUACCAAGGCGACGAUCCGUAGCUGAUCUUAGAGGAUGAUCAGUCACACUGGGACUGAGACACGGCCCAGACUCCUACGGGAGGCAGCAGUGGGGAAUCUUGGACAAUGGGCGCAAGCCUGAUCCAGCCAUGCCGCGUGAGUGAAGAAGGUCUUCGGAUUGUAAAGCUCUUUUACCAGGGACGAUAAUGACGGUACCUGGAGAAUAAGCCCCGGCAAACUUCGUG